rnacentral:rRNA from 1 species
AUUGAACGCUGGCGGCAUGCCUUACACAUGCAAGUCGAACGGCAGCACGGGUGCUUGCACCUGGUGGCGAGUGGCGAACGGGUGAGUAAGACAUCGGAAAAUGUCCUGUAGUGGGGAAUAGCCCGGCGAAAGCCGGAUUAAUACCGCAUACGAUCUACGGAUGAAAGCGGGGGACCUUCGGGCCUCGCGCUAUAGGGUUGGCCGAUGGCUGAUUAGCUAGUUGGUGGGGUAAAGGCCUACCAAGGCGACGAUCAGUAGCUGGUCUGAGAGGACGACCAGCCACACUGGGACUGAGACACGGCCCAGACUCCUACGGGAGGCAGCAGUGGGGAAUUUUGGACAAUGGGCGAAAGCCUGAUCCAGCAAUGCCGCGUGUGUGAAGAAGGCCUUCGGGUUGUAAAGCACUUUUGUCCGGAAAGAAAUCCUUGGCCCUAAUACGGUCGGGGGAUGACGGUACCGGAAGAAUAAGCACCGGCUAACUACGUG